rnacentral:rRNA from 1 species
GACGAACGCUGGCGGCGUGCUUAACACAUGCAAGUCGAACGGUGAAAGCGGAGCUUGCUCCGCUGGAUCAGUGGCGAACGGGUGAGUAACACGGGGGCAACCUGCCCCUGACUUCGGGAUAACUCCUCGAAAGAGGUGCUAAUACCGGAUACGACUCCUGCAGGCAUCUGCGGGAGUGGAAAGUUUUUCGGUCAGGGAUGGGCCCGCGGCCUAUCAGCUUGUUGGUGAGGUAGUGGCGCACCAAGGCGACGACGGGUAGCCGGCCUGAAAGGGCGACCGGACACACUGGGACUGAGACACGGCCCAGACUCCUACGGGAGGCAGCAGUGGGGAAUAUUGCGCAAUGGGCGAAAGCCUGACGCAGCAACGCCGCGUGAGGGAUGACGGCCUUCGGGUUGUAAACCUCUUUCAGCAGGGAAGAAGCGAAAGUGACGGUACCUGCAGAAGAAGCACCGGCUAACUACGUGCCAGCCGCCGCAGUAA